rnacentral:rRNA from 1 species
GGACCAUCAUGUCGGUCGUGCCUCGGUACGUACUGGCAUUGUUGGUUUCUCCCUUCUGACGAACCACGAUGUCAUUUAUUUGAUGUUGUGGGGAAUCAGGACUGUUACUUUGAAAAAAUUAGAGUGUUUAAAGCAGGCUCACGCUUGAAUACAUUAGCAUGGAAUAAUGAAAUAGGACGUUUGAUUCUAUUUUGUUGGUUUCUAGGAUCGACGUA